rnacentral:rRNA from 1 species
CCUACGGGGGGCAGCAGUGGGGAAUAUUGCACAAUGGGCGCAAGCCUGAUGCAGCCAUGCCGCGUGUGUGAAGAAGGCCUUCGGGUUGUAAAGCACUUUCAGCGGGGAGGAAGGCGUUAAGGUUAAUAACCUUGGCGAUUGACGUUACCCGCAGAAGAAGCACCGGCUAACUCCGUGCCAGCAGCCGCGGUAAUACGGAGGGUGCAAGCGUUAGUCGGAAUUACUGGGCGUAAAGCGCACGCAGGCGGUCUGUCAAGUCGGAUGUGAAAUCCCCGGGCUCAACCUGGGAACUGCAUUCGAAACUGGCAGGCUAGAGUCUUGUAGAGGGGGGUAGAAUUCCAGGUGUAGCGGUGAAAUGCGUAGAGAUCUGGAGGAAUACCGGUGGCGAAGGCGGCCCCCUGGACAAAGACUGACGCUCAGGUGCGAAAGCGUGGGGAGCAAACAGGAUUAGAUACCCGAGUAGUC